rnacentral:lncRNA from 1 species
AUCCAUCCCGUCCUCCAUUCAAGGAGCUCUGUGCAUCUGCUCAGAGGAAGGAGAGACUUCUCUGCAAAGGGCAUGGUCCACUUGCUAAGGGUGGCGGAAAACUGACUGAGGAUACACGAAAUGGGGCCAACGAGGAGAAGUGGCUAGAAUUCCUCUCUCCUUGAAUACUCAAACUUUGGGUCAAGGUCCCAAGUUUCGGACUCUCCGGAUUGGUCCCUCAGGCCCCUUAGCCAAGGGAGCAGAAGCCAGAGCAGGAAGCAGAUUUAGGAAAUCUGAGACUGGAAAGUCUACCAGGUUCCAAGGGGCGGCUCUCCGGAGACCUCGCCAGCAAGACUGCCGUGCCCCCCAUCCCACCCGCCAUUUCAGGAAAGCGGAGUAACCAGAUUCUCCAGGAAACGAGGAAUCAAAUCUCCAGGGACGAUCCAGGUGGGAAAUGGAAAUAAAUGAUAAACAUAUAAAUAAGUCA